CGGGCGUUGAGUGCGCUGCAAAUGCACGAGGAGACGUACGGCGCACUGAGGCUACUGGUUGUGAGCUGAAUUGGGCUAGGGUUUUGCCAUCUUGGGCCUCUGUUGUGUUUUUAUUUGGGCUACGGAUUUUGUUUUAAUUUUGUUUAUUAUUGUGUGUUUUGUGUUUAAGGUCAGGGUAGAAUUGGGCCCGUACAGCUGCCCCUCUUUACUCGUUGUCGUGUAAUGAGAACAGAGCAAAGACUUCAAAAGGGCCAAUUUUGCCCGGUCUCACCGAGUCUUGACUUCUUCUACUAUUUCUUUUCUUCAAAUAACUCCGUUCCAGUCCAUUGUGUCUUGUUGCUUCAAUCCACUCCACUGCAUUUCAAAAAGAUCUGACUUGUAGCUUUAAUUUUGUUCGCCACAACUUCUGGGGGACGAUGUUUGUGGUUUUAGUCUGUUCCACUGUAACUUCAGGGAGAUAAGACUGGAUGCAAUCUGCUCUACUACAUCUUCAGAGAGAUAAGAUCUUUGUUUUAAUCCGCUCCACUGUAACUUUAGGGAGAUAGGAUAGUGUCUUCGAUCUGCUCUGCUGUAAUCUCAGGGAGAUAAGAUCCCUGGCUUCAAUCUGCUCCACUAUAACCUCAGGGAGAUAAGAUCUGAAAUUCUUCGGUCUACUCUACCGUAACCUCAGGGAGAUAAGACCUGAUGCGAUCUACUCUGCUGUAACUUCAGAGAGAUAAGAUCCACUCCACUGUAACUUCAAGGAGAUAGGAUAGUGUCUUCGAUCUGCUCCGCUGUAAACUCAGGAAGAUAAGAUUUCUGGCUUCAAUCUGCUCCACUGUAACCUCAGGGAGAUAAGACCUGAAAUUCUUCGGUCUACUCCACUGUAACCUCAGGGAGAUAAGACUUGUAUAUUCAACCUGCCCCACUGUAACUUCAGGGAGAUAAGGUUUGUGGCUCCGAUCUGCUCCUCUGUAGUCUCAGGGAGAUAAGACUUGAUACGAUCUGCUCCACCGUAAUCUCAGGGAGAUAAGAUCUCUAAUAUUCACCGGUCUGUUCUCUAGGGAACAUGGCCUAUAUAAUGAACCUAAUUAUGCCUAAUGAUUAGGAUGGCACGAUCAAAAAUGAAUCAAAUGCUCCUAACUAGACAUGUGUGAAUGGUGUUUGCAUGAAUGCAGAAUUUUAUAUUUCCGAGAAUGAUCUCGCUUAUGUUGUCAUUACUCGAAGUUUAUUAAAGCUUUGUGACCGACGUGUUACAGCACCCUUUUUGCUUGACUGGCUUUUCUGAUAAAACAUUUAGCCAAGUUGUCCCCACUGUAAACCUCAAAGUUUAAUCCAUUUGGGCGCACAAUUUGUGCCAUCAUUAUCCCACUGCAAUCCAAUGGUAAAAAUAUGCGGCUUUCAUUUCAAUUCUAUCUUAUCAGAAAUCAAGGAUACAGGAUCUAAAUCGUUCUGGUUUCUUACACCAUUCUCAAGGUGUCGUAUUUAUGUGCAAAUGAAGGCUCUCUUCUCUAAGGUAACCUCUUCCUAUUGCUUGAUGGUCAUUGCUUGCUUGUUUGUGUAAGCUUUGUCACCAACAUGGCGUUUUGUCAAUCAACACAUUUGACAACAAAAAUCCAAAGAGAAAAUCUAAAUUUAGACUAUUCCUUCCCAAAUUUCCAACCUUUAAAUUUGGUGCGUUUUAAACAAUAGUCCUGCUUCAGGCUCCUUUAUUAUUUAGAAACUUUCCAGAGUUAUGUGUAAAACUUCCUUUGUGAAAGUUUUAUUAGUCCAUACAACAUAUUUGCAAAAAGGUCAUAACAAUGGAUAAGAAUAAAGCUGGUUCUGAUCAUAAAUCAAAAAGAAAUAAAACAUCGAAGAUAGUGAAAGAAAGACGACAAAGAAGUGGAUUGAGAAUGUGUAUCUUAGCAAAAAGAAAAACGUAUUUUCAAGAAUAUACAUAUAAAUAGAAUAAGAACUAGGUGCCCCAGUUAUCGCAGCUUGAAUUUCUCUGUACAAACUUUCUGAAGACCAUUCGGAGUUUGACAUGUGUUUAGGAGAUCUGCAAUACUCUGUCAAUGAUCCAAGACGUCGCAUAUCAUUUCUUGUUGGUUCGGGUAAAGCAAGAUCUUCACAUGCCCCUGAUCAGAAUUUGAUCUGCUCAAAUCACCUUAUAACCCAACUCGAUCAAUACUUGAGCCACCCUUUCCGGGUUUUUGACUUAAGCCCCCUUUGGCCUCAAGGUGCCCUUUGCGGGUUUUCACCCUGGCCUCUCCAAAGUUUUUUUUUGGAAGCAAAGCGCCCUUUGCGGGUUUUCACUUUGGUUCUCUUUUCUUUCAAGUGAAAUAUUUCUUGACGGAGUCUGCGUUUACAGGGUUUGGCAAACUUUUGCCAUCCAUCUCACAUAGGAUUAAAGCCCCACCGGAAAAUGCCUUCUUUACAACAUAGGGACCUUCCCAAUUUGGCAUCCAUUUUCCUCUCGAAUCCUUUUGCAUGGGGAGAAUCUUUUUUAGCACCAAGUCUCCUUCACGAAACUCUCUGGGGCGGACCUUUUUAUUAUAGGCUCGCAUCAUUCGUUUCCGGUACAUUUGCCCAUGACGGAUAGCUCUAAGCCUCUUUUCUUCUAUUAGGUUCAACUGAUCGUACCGAGAUUGGACCCAAUCGGCUUCGUCCAAUUGUAGAUCAGAUAGUACCCGUAGAGAGGGGAUUUCAACUUCAAUGGGUAAUACCGCCUCCAUUCCAUAUACCAGAGAAAAAGGUGUUGCUCCGGUAGAAGCUCUAACAGAUGUUCGAUAGGCAAGGAGAGCAAAUGAUAACUUCUCAUGCCAAUCCUUGUAAGUUUCAAUCAUUUUCCCCACGAUCCUUUUGAUGUUCUUAUUAGCCGCCUCCACUGCACCAUUCAUUUUUGGACGAUAUGGCGAUGAAUUAUGAUGUUUGAUUUUAAAUUGGCUGCAAACCUCAGCUAUUGUGCUAUUAUUCAAAUUUAACACAUUGUUGGAUAUAAUUUUCUCAGGCAUUCCAUAUCGACAAAUAAUCUCUUUCUUCAAGAAUUUGCUAACUGCUGACUUCGUGACAUUUGCGUAUGAAGCAGCCUCUACCCAUUUGGUAAAGUAAUCAAUGACCACAAAGAUGAAACGAUGCCCAUUAGAAGCCUUUGGUGAUAUUGGCCCAAUAACAUCCAUACCCCACAUGGAAAACGGCCAAGGAGAGGUCAUGACGUGAAGAGGUGAAGGAGGCGCAUGUAUUUUGUCUCCGUAAAUUUGGCAUUUGUGGCAUUUCUUGGCGUAAUCUAUGCAAUCUCCUUCCAGGGUGGGCCAAUAGUACCCAAAUCUCAUGAUUUGUCUGGCCAUCAUAAAACCAUUGGCGUGCGUCCCACAAAUACCCUCAUGUACUUCCUCCAAUAUUUUCUUGGCAUCCACGGCAUCCACACAUCUUAGCAAUACUUGAUCCUUCCUUCUUUUGUAUAACACUUCCCCAUCUAGGACAUAUUCGAUGGCUAUUCUUCUCAGAGUUCUUUUGUCAUUCUCUGUCGCUUGAUUGGGGUACUCCCGAUCCUUCACGUACUGUAGGAUAUUCUGAUACCAAGGACAAUCAUCUUUUCCCUCCUCUUCAAUAUUGCAGCAAUGAGCUGGGUUCUCAUAGAUACUCAUCUGAAUAGGCCUCAUUGCCUCGAGUCUAUUCACCUGAAUCAUCGAAGCUAGAGUAGCUAAUGCGUCAUCCAUUUGGUUUUCCUCUCGUGGGAGAUAACAGAAGGUGAUAUCAUCAAACUCACCAGCCAAUUCGAGAACUAGUUUUCUAUAAUCAAUUAGCUUAGGGUCCCUAGUUUCCCAUUCCCCUUUUAGUUGGUAUAUCACCAAUGCAGAAUCCCCAUAUACUCUUAGCACUUUGAUGUUUCGUUCAAUGGCUGCACGAAUGCCCAUAAUACAUGCUUCAUAUUCUGCCAUAUUAUUAGUACAAUCGAAGUCCAACUUGCUAGCAACAGGAUAAUGAUCUCCAUUUGGGGAUACCAAGAUUGCCCCAAUUCCAUUACCCGUAGCAUUCGAAGCUCCAUCAAAAUUUAACCUCCAUACGCUACCCAUUUGAGGAUUCUCUUCAGUGUUCGCCACAUACUUCAAGUCCUCAUUUGGAAAGUCGAAGUUCAAAGACUCGUAGUCUUCCAAGGCUCUACUAGCUAAGAAGUCAGCUAUCGCACUUCCCUUUAUGGCCUUCUGACUUACAUAUACUAUGUCAAAUUCUGAGAGCAGGAUUUGCCAUCUAGCCAUUCUCCCGUUUAAAGCAGUAGAUUCCAUCAUAUACUUUAAAGGAUCCAACUUUGAAAUCAGCCAAGUCGUAUGAUACAACAUAUGUUGCCUUAGUCUUCGGGUUGCCCAGAUUAAAGCGCAACACAACUUCUCAACUGAUGAGUAUCUCAUUUCGCAAUCAGUAAAUUUCUUGCUGAGAUAGUAUAUUGCCUUUUCUUUCUUUCCCGUCUCAUCAUGUUGGCCUAAUACGCAUCCCAUGGAAUUCUCCAACACUGUUAGAUAUAAUAUCAAUGGCCUAUCUGGACUUGGUGGUGAUAAGACUGGAGUAUUAACCAAGUACUGCUUUAUCUUAUCGAAAGCUCUCUGGCAUUCUUCAUCCCAUUCACCCGGAUUAUGCUUCUUUAAGAGACAGAAUAUCGGAUCACAUUUCUCCGUCAGUUAUGAGAUGAAUCGAGCAAUGUAAUUCAAUCUCCCUAGGAAACCUCGAACUUCCUUCUGCGUGCGCGGGGGAGGUAAAUCUCGUAUUGCUUUUACUUUGUUUGGGUCAACCUCAAUCCCUUUUUUGCUAAUUAUGAAGCCUAAUAACUUCCCUGAUCUGGCUCCAAAUGUGCAUUUUGCAGGGUUAAGCUUGAGCUGAAAUUUCCUCAAUCUCAAAAAUAACUUUUUCAAGACUUGAACGUGCUCUUCUUCCGUUCUAGACUUCGUAAUCAUAUCAUCCACAUAGACUUCGAUCUCCUUGGGCAUCAUGUCGUGAAACAAAGUCACCAUAGCUCUUUGAUAUGUUGCUCUCGCAUUUUUCAAUCCGAAGGGCAUUACCUUGUAACAAAAUGUUCCCCAUAAGGUAAUGAAUGUGGUUUUCCUCAUGUCUUCAGGAUGCAUCUUUAUUUGAUUGUACCCGGAGAAGCCAUCCAUGAAAGAAAACAAUGAAUAGCCCGCCGUGUUAUCUACCAAGGUAUCAAUGUGAGGCAGUGGAAAAUUAUCUUUUGGACUCGCCUUGUUCAAAUCUCUAUAAUCCACACACAUUCGUACCUUUUCAUCUUUUUUAGGAACAGGGACGAUGUUUACUACCCAAUCCGAAUACUUGACCUCUUGUAAGAAUCCAGCGUAGAAUUGCCUUUUGAGUUCUUCUUUUAUUUUCAACACAAUAUCAGGUCUCAUUCUCCUGAGCUUCUGCUGAAUGGGUUUACAAUCUUCUUUUAUGGGUAGACGAUGCACAACAAUGUUAAUGCUUAGCCCGGGCAUAUCUUGGUAUGACCACGCGAAAACAUCUUUGAACUUUCGGAGUAAAUUAAUGAGGUCUUGUUUUGUCUUUGCAGUGAUUUCAGUGCCAAUUUUCACCUAUUUUCCAUCCUCUAGGCUCACGAUUUCUAAUAAUUCCCCAUGAGGUAGGAUCUGUUUAUCCUCUUCUUCCACCAUUCUUAGCAAGUCCGGAGACACACCAUAAUCUUCGUCAUUUUCAAAGUCGUGAGAUCCCUCCAAACACAUUUCUUGCUCAAAGAUAGGCUCCGUGUUUGAAGCAGCAUCACUCAUGUCGUUGAUAUCUGAAGACCUAUGAAGGCAUACCAAAGAGUAUACCAAGAAUAUAUAAAUUUAUGAAUGAAUAUUUGUGCAAAAGAGUUACAAAUGAAAGAAUUAUUUAUAAGACAAUUAAUCAAAUGGAAAGUAUUUAUUUAUAUGUAAAGGAAAAAAGUGACUGAUUGAGAUGAAUGUAGAUAUGUAUUUCAUUAAAAUGAUGAUAUUUAGGCCCAAAGCCUAUUUCACAAAAGAUUUCAUAUCGUUCCUAGGCCAAAACAACAGGAAUGUUUUGAGCAUUACUCUGAAUAAGCCCUAAAGACUACAGGGAUUUCUUCAGCAGUCCAAUUGUUUAGCUCGCUCCCCGGCUCAUGAGGGCGGAUCUCCAACAAGGCCCUUUUUUCCGCUGCUUCCACAGUGUUGAUAUGAACAUUUUCCAACAUUCUUUCAAUGCCUUUGCUACCGGACACUCCGCACUCAGAAUGAAUAAAUCCUCCUGACACAAAGGAUGUAGAUAUGUGGGGAAAGGUUAAAGGCUCCCACUUAGCUUCAUAUCCGCUCAAACGUGCCCUUCUUUUCUCUUGUCUCUUCUCUAUUUCUUUCUUUUUCUGCUUCAUGUCUGGCUUGUAUCCUAAGCCAAAACUAUCGAACUUUUCCUUCAACAUUGGAGCUUCAAUCCUUCCUUGAAGAUAUUUUCCCAGUCCUUUCCCUGGUGCGGCUCCUCUUCCUACCAUCAAUCGCAACCCCAUUUCGGUGGUCCUGGAUAUUUUCGGUAUUGGAAUUCUACUUCCCUCCGCAAUAAACAUCGCGUUCACAAAUUCUAACGACCGAAAAGAACAUUUCAGUGCAUCAUCGUUGAUGUCCACAUAAGGUACAUCACUGGUCAUCAUUGCGAUAAUAUCUUUCUCUGCAUCUAUUGUUACCAACUGACCCUCCGAUACCAACUUCACCUUCUGAUGUAAUGAUGAAGGUACUGCCCCCGAUGAGUGUAUCCACGGUCUUCCCAAUAAACAGUUGUAGGAAGGCCUAAUAUCCAUUACCAAGAAGUCCACCUCAUAAGUGAUUGGGCCAAUCCUUAACGGUACCUCAAUUCUCCCCAUAACCUUUUUUUCCGUUCCAUCAAAUGCCCUUACUAUACUCUGGCAUGUUUUCAUGUGCGAACUGUCCACCGGUAAUCGACCAAGAGUGGAUAGAGGCAAUACAUUCAGUGCAGAUCCAUUAUCAACCAGGGCUCCCGGGAGUGUAUAUCCUUUGCAUCGGACAGUAACGUACAGGGCUUUAGUAGAACCCCUUCCUCCGGAUGGUAUUUCGUCAUCAUUGAAGAAGAUAAAAUUGUCAGCGCCUAUGUUGUUGAUCAACCGAUCUAGCUUGUUUACCGAUAUAUCGUCGGCCACAUAUGUUUCGUUUAGUACCUUCAGAAGCGCAUUCCGAUGUAUUUCUGAGCUUAGAAGUAAAGCUAAUACAGAAAUGUGGCUGGUUGUUUGUGCAGUUGCUCCACAACACUGUAUUCACUGUGCUUCAGAAACUUCAAAAACUCUUUUGCCUCAUCUUCUUUUAUUGGUUCAUUAACCAAUGGCUCAACUCCAACUGCUUUUCCGGUCCUCUGUUCUUUCUUCCAAUUCUCUUCCCUGGACGACUCUGCUUGAGUGUCAUAUCGUUUCUUAUUGCGUGUGUAAGAACCUAUUUCCUGGCUUUCUUCUGCUUUUUUUUUCCAAGAUGGUCACAUUGCACCCAUAAUUCCACGGCACAAUUUUGCUAUCCUUAUACAAGAAAUUUGAUGGUUUUUGAAUUACAACUUUCGGUGUUACCUGAGCCCUAGUUUCAUUACCUUUAGGGCGUGAGAUAACGACCACAGGAUGAUUUAUUUUCGGAGUUCCUGUUCCUGACUCUGUCGCGCAUAUGCUCCUCUUUUCUUCCGCCUCUUCAUAAAACGUCAUCUCUUUGUUAUCCAUCAUGCUUUGAACCAAAGCCCUGAAUCCUUCACAUUCUUGGAUUUCGUGCCCUGUUUUAUGAUGGAAUUCACAAAAAUUUUCCAGCUCGUACCCUUCCUCAAAAUUUGAAAUAACUAACCUUCUCUUUGCCAUCUCUUUCCAGACCCGUUUCAAUGGAGUUUUUACUUCAGCAAUGUCAGACUUGACUUCUCUUCUCGUACCUUCACUCACCAUAUUCACCCCCUUAUCAGCGUGAUUAGGUAACGGAUUUUCUGAGUUAGGUGAGUCGUCAAGUUUAACAACACCUAAUUUGAUAAGUCCUUCCACUACCUUCUUGAAAGCUGUACAAUUUUCUAUUGAGUGCCCUGAAAUUCCUGCGUGAUAAUCACAUUAUGCAUUCGUGUCAUACCAUUUUGGAUACGGGGGUUGUAGAGGACUCAAGUAACGAGGAGCAACAACAUGUGCAUUGAAUAAAGUCUGAUACAAUUUCUUGUAUGACAUUGGGAUUGGCGUGAAUUGGGGCUUUUCAGUAGUUUGCCUAGCUCUUGAUUCUUGUCUUGACGAUCCCGGUUGAUUAGCAACCCCUUUUUUUGGUUGAUUCACAGUAAUUGACCUACCGUAGGCAUUCACAUUAUUCACUUCAUUUUCUCUUUUCCUCGGGGCUGCCCUUCUAUUAUUUUCCCUUCCAUCUAUUCUUCCACUUUUAAUGGCAUGCUCAAUCAUUUCACCAUUCAUGAUUAUAUCCGAGAAAUUCUUUGAAGCGCUUCCCAACAUGUGAGUAAUGAAUGGGGCCUUCAAUGUAUUAAUAAAAAGCGUCGCCAUCUCUUUUUCUAAAAGCGGUGGUUGUACCUGAACCGCCACCUCUCUCCACCUCUGCGCGUACUGUCUGAAGCUUUCGUUUGAUUUUUUUUUCUAAAUUCUGCAGAGUUAUCCUGUCAGGCAUCAUUUCCGAGACAUGAUCGUAUUGUCUCAUGAAAGCCUGUGCCAAAUCUUUCCAAGUAGUAAUUUUUAUUCUGCUCAGCUGAUUAUACCACUUUGACACCGCUCCUGUAAGGCUUUCCUGAAAGUAAUGUAUUAAUAAUUGAUCAUUAUUAAUAUACCCCGUCAUUCUUCUACAAAACAUAGUAAUAUGGGCUUCUGGGAAACUGGUCCCGUUAUAUUUCUCAAAUUCCGGCAUUCUAAAUUUGUAAGGUAGCACCAAGUCCGGAACCAAGCUCAGGUCUUUUGCGUCUUUCCCAUGAUAGCUUUCAAUGCUUUCUAUUGCCCUAAACUUCUCUUCUAUCCAUUUCCAUUUCUCCUCAAGUUGUUUUGGAAGCUCCUCCUUCGCCUUGUCCUUUUCGGCCAUCUCGUCAAGAUCUAGGAUAGCAAUAUUAUUCGGGCUAUCUCCAGGAUUAGAGCCCACCCCGGGUUGAAAAUUCAUUGGUAUGGAAGCAUCGCCUUGGAACUGCUGAGGCCUAACCGACACAGAGGGUCUUCGUGGAUGCAGCUCAGUUUGAACCUGCGCGUGCGGAGGCGUAAAACUUGGAGGAUAAAGUGGUUCGCUAUUGUUUUCUUCCUCAUUAACAAUCACAGGUCCUUUCCCCUUAUCUACUCCAUUCAAUAAUUGUGUCAUCUUAGUUAUCAGAUCGUUUUGAGACUCCCGCAUCUUUUAUUCUAUGUCAUGCUGAAUCUUUUCUAUCUGCUCCUUCAUUUGCGCCUGCAACUGGUCUUGCAUUUCCUUUUGAAGUCGUUCUAGCUUUUCCAGCCUUUGGUCCAUAAUUUUUGACUUAGCUCGAGUGCCGUAACCUUGUUGGUUUUCUAGGUUAACUGAAAUAAUUUUAUUCGAUUAGGGUUCUUUAAUGGUCAUUAAUGCAUAUGAUGUGAUGCAAUGCAUGAAAAGAAUGCAAAAAGAGGCAGUGAUUCUAAUUCAACUUCAUUAGAAAAACUCAACUAGAAAACAAAUUUCUUUUACAUAAAGUGGAUUACAUAUACGGCUUUGCCUUUAUGCUCAAAGCCUUAACUCUCCUAAGGAGCCAAGCUAACUCUCGACCCCGACUUGAUUCCAAUUCAUAUUUCAAACUCAAUAUAUCGGCCUGAACUGCUAAAGUUUACAAAUGAUCAGCUACUUCCCGAAUUUGAGAUAUAGCUUCACCCAUCACGUAAUCCCUAUCUCUAAUCUGAUUUUGAGAAUGGAGGAGCUGCUCUUGGCAUUGUUCGUUACGCCUUUCAAGAAGUUCCUCUCGCGAUUCAGAGUUUUGCAGUGCAUCUUCAAGUUCUCCUAUUUUUUUCUUCAAUUCUUCGAUGUUAUUCAAACUUGCUUUUAGCUCGAUCACAGAGUUGCGAUUACGGCACAAGUGAAGCGACCUUUUUAACUCUGCUACCCGAUCUUUCAAUCUUGCUUCUUCAUUUUGGCAUUCUAAUAAACUUUUUUCCAAUGCACUUUCUCGAGCUCGGGCACCUUGAAAUUUCUUUUCCCACUGAUCAGCUUUGGUCCUUUCUUCCUCGAUCUCCUGUUUCCAUUGUUUCGAUGUUUUCCCCAAACCCGCAGUUCGCAUUGACAAUCGUAGCCUUUUAUAAUCUGUUUUUAAACUAUCUAAAUCCUCUUCAGCCUUAUUUUUCCCUUUUCUUAACUUUUCAGCUUCCAACUUGUGGAUAUCAACAUCUAGUCCCAAACGCAUCUUUUCUUCUUUCAGCUGUUCUAUCCUCUUUCCAAACUCUGAACUUCUUUUUUCGAAGUCUUGCUUGAUGAUCUCUAGUUCUGAAGGGACUAUUCGUAAAUACUCUUCUAUAGGACGACCACAUUCUUCUCCUGGCUUUGGGAUGUUAUCGUCGAUCCUCUUACUCCGCCACCCGUGAUAUUCGAGAGUUGUCGUUGCUCCUACGGUAAUUCUUUUCAUCCGGUGAAUUCGUUUCCAAGCGUUAGACAUCUCUCAGAUCUUUCCCUUGUAGUUAUUACCUUUAUAAGAAAAGUCACACUCGGCUAGCCCUUGCGUUGCCGGUAUAACUGCCUUGACUUAUAUUGCCUUAACAAAGCAAAGGGGCAUAUCCGACAGCUCCCCAAAUUCCAAGCAAAUGGACCCAGUCAAAGUCCCCACAUCGGUACAAAAUCUCGUCGGGCACCAUCCAAGAAGCUUUACAUUCAACAUCUUCAUCUCGUAGAUUAUGAAGGAUCGUCAUCCACUUUUCCUCCGUGAUGUCAUUACGUCUUGGUGUUGCUGCCAAUUCCUUCAAAGACGAGUAAUUUUUUGAGAAAACUUGAUAAGAAAUCUUAUCCACCUUCCAGAAGUGGCUGUGAAACCAAACCAACAGGAGUUGUGCACAACCAACGAAUCUUCCCUCCCCCGUUCUUCGACAUGCACUUAAAGACCUAAACGUUUCGGCCAAAAUUGCUGGAACGGGUGUGACCCUCCUAUCAAGUUGAUCAAACAAAUCUGUAACAGCUUCGUCUAUAUGCCCCAACGCUUUAGGAAAAAUAACUAGCCCAUACAUACUCAAAGCAAAAACAUCAACCUUUUUAUUCGUAUCCGGGUGUGCCAAAAUCUGAUCUCGCAAACUUCUCCAAGGGAUACAUUUAUUUUCUCCCUUUUGUUUGAUUCGUGCGGUGACCCAUUGCUCACUCAUUCCGGUAAUUCUCGUUAACUUCUUUGUAAAAGUCGAAACAUUAGCAGUUCUAGAAUAAACUUUAUCCACUUGGAUUCUUGGACAACGAAGUAAAGUUGUAUACUCCUCCACAGUAGGCACCAUGUCUACCUCCCCAAAUGUGAAGCAGCUAUAAGCGGAAUUCCAAAAUUGGGCCAAAGCUCGAAAUAAAUGUUCAUCUACAUUGAUGUCAAGCAAGUAGGGUAAAUCACCAUAAUUAUAGUAAAACAAUUGUUUGACUUUAUCCUCCCAUUGAGCCCAAAUUUCUUUCAACUCCUGAAGAUUGUUCUGAGUCACAUUGAUGCUAGUGUAAUCCCAUAACUCUGAUGCAAACCCCAUUGUCAGACUAUCACCUUUCUCGAGUUGUGACUUUUCUGACCAUAUUCGGAUAAUCGCAUUAUCUUCCACCUUGCUAAGAAAUUCACUUUCCAUGAUUGGCUUUUCUAUCUAGUAAUCGAAUGUGAAUCAACGCCUUUUACAAUGAAAUGCCAUGCAGACAAAAUGCCAUGCAAUCAAAACAAAAUAAGUUAGUAUCAAAAUUAAAAAUCCGAGACAAGCAAGAAAUAAUAAAGCACCUAUUUGAAGUAGUUCUAUCUAGGCUGGGUUCCUAGGGUUCACUAUAUGUGGUUUGGUUCUAAAGAUAAGGUACCCGAACCAGCAGAUUCCUCGAUCUUCACCCAUUAUAGGCUCAUAUAGACCGAGUUCGGUUCAGGGGAACACAUUUCCCUAUGGCUGCACGGAGAUGAAAAUCUCACGAAGACAUAGGUACGGAUGUAUCCCAAAAGCGAUCCACUAUCCUGCACGAAGGUGAAAACCUCACGAAGGAAAUAGCUUCUCACUCCCACUUAAAAGGUGUGACCAACGGUCAUGCAAUGCAAUGUGCAGAAAGAUACUAAAGUUUAGAAUACAAAACGUGAUGAAAACUAUAACUCAAAACCAAUGCAAUGAGAGGAUCGUAUAUUUAAAUCACAUUUUCAAAUUUCGACAAAAACACAAGAAAUGAUCAACACGUGGCUUGACUCUCUUAUUUUUUGAAAUCCCCAACAGAGUCGCCAAGCUGUUGACACCAUUUUUUUUGAUGGAAAACGGGGUCGACUUGGGUUUUUGAAAAUGAAAACAAAAACAGGAGUCGCCACCAAUCCUUUUUUAUAAGAUGUGAUUGGAUCACCUCGAAAAGUGGUUGUUUUUAAUAAAAGGUUUGAUUUUAUUAAAACAACAAGUUUGGUCCACGAAACUCAAAAAAUGGGUUCGGGAGUCGAUUACGCACGAGGAAGGAUUAGCACCCUCGAUACGCCCAAAAUUGGUACCUAGUUGAUUACUUAAUGUCUUAGUGUCGAAGAUUGAAAACUUUAAAGAAAUUUAAAGUACGAUCCUAAAAAAAAAAACUGGAAUGGCAUGGAUUAAAAUUCAAGAGGAAACUUGGCAAUUUGGUUAAACGAGAAAUCGAAACCCAGCACCUUAGGGCACGUUCCUCGAAUUUCCAAAUGCAAAAUAUUGCCUUAUUUUGAAAUUUUUAUGAAGGAUAUUAAGCCAUUUGAACGAGAAAAAUCGACACCAGCACCUUAGAGCGUGUUUUCUCGAAUUUCCAAAUGCUAAAUAUUGCCUCAAUUUGAAAUAUUCUCCUUUUUUUUUGAAAUAUGGUAUUUAUAUGCAUGAUGGGAUUAUAAAUAAAAUAACGCGACUAAAAAAAAUAAUAUGAGCACAAAAAUGAAUAAUAAAUAAAAAACAAAUCACUCAUGAAUAUACAAUAACAAGUAAAUAAAAAAAACUAAAGCAUUAAAUAAAUGGACAUAUAAAUAAUCAAAUAAAUGAAAAAAAAUAAAGAAAAUAGAUAAAAAAUUAUAAAAUAUGAAAAUAUAUAAGUACAUAUAAAAUAUAUAUAUAUGAAGGUAUUCAUAUUUUAAUACGUAAUAUAUAUAUAAGUAUGUAUGGACAUAUUCGUGAGAAAAACAGGAAGAAAAAAAUGUAUAUAGAUAUAUAUCUAUAUAGAAAAAAAUGUAUAUGGAAAAAAAUGUAUAUAGAUAUAUAUGUAUAGAUAUGUAUAUAAAUAAAAUAUAUAUGAAUAUGUAUGUAUCUAUUAAAUAAGUUACUAAAUAAAUAUAUAUGCGUGUAUACAUAUAGAUUAUAAAAAAGUAUAUAUAUAGGAAUCUAAAAGAGUUUAUACAUAUAAUGAUUUAAAAUAUAUAAUAUAUUAAAAGAAUUAAAUAAAUAGUAUGCAAAAACAAUUUAUAAUAAACAAUAAAUAAGAAACUCAAAACAAAUAAUAAUAAAGGAAACCCUAUUUUAAAAUGAUAAAAAAUAAAAUAAAAUAAAUGGACUAGGGACGAUACUGAAACCAAAUCGAAUCUGGGGGUUUUAAUUGCAAAAACCAUAAACAGGUCACUUAGGGAUUAAAAUGGCGCUCGCACAAAGAAAGAAGGACUAAUUGGGCAAUAUACCCCAGUCCUAGAGUGCAAUGUUCCAGCGCAGAGGACUAUAUAUGGUCAAAGGACCUGAUUGGAGCAGAAAUAAAGUUUGCGGCCCAAAUCGAAAAGAAAUAGGAAGUUGGAUUGCACUUCCACGCAAGGUGGAGGGACUAAAUGCAUAAAUUACCCAUUAAGGCAAAGCAUGCACAGAUUCCCCCCACCAAAUGGCGCCGUUUCACUUAUCCCCAUUUAAAACAAAAAAAAAUUUAUAACUUCAUUUUAUCAGUGUUUUAAAGAAAAAAAAAACUGAACCUAUCCUCUCCCUUUCAAAGUUCCCAGCAGCCAAACAUGGCCCACGCCGGCGAGCGGCGGUUCCAAAGGCCAAAGCUCCUUCACGAGCGGUGGUCGGAGUGAGAAAAGGAGGGCUUUUUAACCCCGUUCUCGACCUCCACCUUAAGGCCCGGUCCUCCAGACCAAACAAGCCGAAACAAUGAGAGACCUUUCGUCUCCUUCUCGGUCCGAUUCCAACACCGAAGAUGGUCUCCGGCGACGGGCUUUCGAGACCGGUAAGUGUCCCUUUUCUUUCUUUUUCGUUUUGUUUUUUUAGUUUCAAAGAGUAGUAAAAAAACAGAAAAUAGAAGAAUAUAUAAAAAAAAUUAUUAAGAACAGAGAAAGAAAUUUGGAGUCAACCUUUUCAAUUUUUUUGAUCUGCUCCCUUUUUUUUUGAAUACAGAUUUUGGUGGCUUUUAUAGCCAAAAGAUAAUCCUAAAAAUCUAUUUCCUAUUUUAUUUUUAUCAUUUCUGUCCAAUAUUGCUACUGCUGCUGCUGUUGUUCCCCUUUCUUUGCUUUGCUUGCAGGUACUGGUGAAGUCAACGGGUAUUGGAAGAAUAAACCUAGCCUUUUUUGUGCAAAACUGGUCGUGCUUCGGGCGUUGAGUGCACUGCAAAUGCACGAGGAGACGUACGGCGCACUGAGGCUGCUGGUUGUGAGCUGAAUUGGGCUAGGGUUUUGCCAUCUUGGGCCUCUAUUGUGUUUUUAUUUGGGCUACGGAUUUUGUUUUAAUUUUGUUUAUUAUUGUGUGUUUUGUGUUUAAGGUCAGGGUAGAAUUGGGCCCGUACAAAGUGGAUUAAGAUCUCUGCUCUAGCAUUGUUUUUAAUUUGUUUUAUUAUUAUUAAGUUAGGCUUGGAGAACUUUUAGGUGAAACCCUAAUUUUUUUAAAAAUAGGCAUAAAGUCUCUCUUUGUAAUCUUGAAUCUUUUUGAAUUUGUAUAAUCCAACAAUUUUAAAGAUGAGAUAAUAUUGAUU
rnacentral:lncRNA from 1 species